GUGUCAGCAGCCGCGGUAAUACGGAGGGUGCAAGCGUUGUCCGGAUUUAUUGGGUUUAAAGGGUGCGUAGGCGGCCUUAUAAGUCAGUGGUGAAAGCCCAUCGCUCAACGAUGGAACUGCCAUUGAUACUGUAAGGCUUGAGUACAGACGAGGUAGGCGGAAUUGAUGGUGUAGCGGUGAAAUGCAUAGAUACCAUCAAGAACACCGAUUGCGUAGGCAGCUUACUAGGCUGUAACUGACGCUGAGGCACGAAAGCGUGGGGAGCGAACAGGAUUAGAUACCCUGGUAGUCCACGCUGUAAACGAUGAUUACUCGAUGUUGGCGAUACACAGUCAGCGUCUUAGCGAAAGCGUUAAGUAAUCCACCUGGGGAGUACGCCCGCAAGGGUGAA
rnacentral:rRNA from 1 species